GAGGGUAUAGCUCAAGUGGUAGAGUGUAUGCUUAGCAUGCAGAAGGUCCUGGGUUCAAUUCCCAGUACUUGCU
rnacentral:tRNA from 1 species